rnacentral:rRNA from 1 species
AGUCGACGCUGGAAACGAUGGGUACUAGGGGUCGGGGGGUCCCCCCCUCGGUGCCGCAGCUAACGCAUUAAGUACUCCGCCUGGGAAGUACGCUCGCAAGAGUGAAACUCAAAGGAAGUGACGGGGACCCGCACAAGUAGCGGAGCAUGUGGUUUAAUUCGAAGCAACGCGAAGAACCUUACCUAAGCUUGACAUCCCAAUGACAUCUCCUUAAUCGGAGAGUUCC